AGCAGCCGCGGUAAUUCCAGCUCCAAUAGCGUAUAUUAAAGUUGUUGCAGUUAAAAAGCUCGUAGUUGAAUUUCGGGGUUAGUAGGUUGGUCAUGCCUCUGGUAUGUACUGGUCUCACUGAUUCCUCCUUCCUGAUGAGCCGUAAUGCCAUUAAUUUGGUGUUGUGGGGAAUUUGGACUGUUACUUUGAAAAAAUUGAGUGUUUAAAGCAAGCUAACGCUUGAAUACAUUAGCAUGGAAUAAUGAAAUAGGACGUUCGAUCCUAUUUUGUGGUUUCUAGGAUUGACGUAAUGAUUAAUAGGGAUAGUUGGGGCAUUAGUAUUCAAUUGUCAGAGGUGAAAUUCUUGGAUUUAUUGAAGACUAACUACUGCGAAAGCAUUUGCCAAGAUGUUUCAUUAAUCAAGAACGAAAGUUAGGGAUCGAAGACGAUCA
rnacentral:rRNA from 1 species